rnacentral:lncRNA from 1 species
UUCAGAAGUCACAGAGGAUACUACAGGAAAGCAAUCGAAUGGUGAUUGGAUACAUUUUCUAACAUCAUGAGGUAUCUAUACUAUUCUGAAAUUUGUGAGACUAGUCAGCAGGAAACCACAAGAAAGAGUGAGGUGGGAG